AAUAUUGGACAAUGGGCGAAAGCCUGAUCCAGCGACGCCGCGUGAGGGAUGAAGGCCUUCGGGUUGUAAACCUCUGUUGUCUGGAAAGAAGCCGGGUGCAUAACCCGGUGACGGUACCUGACGAGGAAGCCCCGGCUAACUACGUGCCAGCAGCCGCGGUAAGACGGAGGGGGCAAGCGUUGUCCGGAAUCACUGGGCGUAAAGCGCACGUAGGUGGUUGUGUGCGUCGUUGCUGAAAGCGCCGGGCUUAACCCGGCGAGGUGCAGCGAUACGACACAACUCGAGGCAGGGAGAGGGUGGCGGAAUUCCGGGUGUAGUGGUGAAAUGCGUAGAGAUCCGGAGGAACGCCAGUGACGAAGGUGGCCACCUGGCCCUGUCCUGACACUGAGGUGCGAUAGCGUGGGGAGCGAAC
rnacentral:rRNA from 1 species